rnacentral:rRNA from 1 species
CCAAUAGCGUAUAUUAAAGUUGCUGCAGUUAAAAAGCUCGUAGUUGAAUUUCGGGACUAAUAUGUCGGUCGUGCCUCGGUACGUACUGGUUUAUUGGUUUCUCCUUUCUGAAGAACCAUGAUGUCAUUUAUUUGGUGUCGUGGGGAAUCAGGACUGUUACUUUGAAAAAAUUAGAGUGUUUAAAGCAGGCUCACGCUUGAAUACAUUAGCAUGGAAUAAUGAAAUAGGACGUUUGAUUCUAUUUUGUUGGUUUCUAGGAUCGACGUAAUGAUUAAUAGGGAUAGUUGGGGGCAUUAGUAUUCAAUUGUCAGAGGUGAAAUUCUUGGAUUUAUUGAAGACUAACUACUGCGAAAGCAUUUGCCAAGGAUGUUUUCAUUAAUCAAGAACGAAAGUUAGGGGAUCGAAGACGAUCAGAUACCGUCGUAGUCUUAACCAUAAACUAUGCCGACUAGGGAUCGGAUGAUGUUAAUUUUUUAAUGACUCAUUCGGCGCCUUACGGGAAACCAAAGUGUUUGGGUU